rnacentral:rRNA from 1 species
CCUACGGGAGGCAGCAGUGGGGAAUAUUGCACAAUGGGCGCAAGCCUGAUGCAGCCAUGCCGCGUGUAUGAAGAAGGCCUUCGGGUUGUAAAGUACUUUCAGCGGGGAGGAAGGUGUUGAGGUUAAUAACCUCAGCAAUUGACGUUCCCGCAGAAGAGCACCGGCUACUCCGUGCCACAGCCGCGGUAAU